rnacentral:rRNA from 1 species
CCUACGGGAGGCAGCAGUAAGGAAUAUUGGACAAUGCCCGCAAGGGUGAUCCAGCCAUGCCGCGUGCAGGAAGAAGGCCCUAUGGGUCGUAAACUGCUUUUACACCGGAGAAAACCUCCCUUCGUGAAGGGAGCUGAUAGUAUGGUGAGAAUAAGCAUCGGCUAACUUCGUGCCAGCAGCCGCGGUAAGACGAAGGAUGCAAGCGUUAUCCGGAUUCAUUGGGUUUAAAGGGAGCGUAGGUGGACUGAUAAGUCAGUGGUGAAAUCUUCGAGCUUAACUCGGAAAUUGCCAUUGAUACUGUUAGUCUUGAGUACAGUUGCUGUGGGCGGAAUAUGACAUGUAGUGGUGAAAUACAUAGAGAUGUCAUAGAACACCGAUUGCGAAGGCAGCUCACAAAGCUGUAACUGACACUGAGGCUCGAAAGUGGNGGAGUACAACAGAGUAGUAUACCUACGUAGUACGCACUAGUAACGAUAUAUACUAC